GGGUUAAUUAUAAAUUAGAUCACUUAUUACGCUAGAAAAUAUCAAGUGGGUCACUGGGAAAUUUUUGAUCUCAUUUGAAUCACUAAAGUCAUCAAAAAUAUCAAAUUGAUACCUCUAAUAUCUUUUCGAGGAGUAAAUUUUAUUUUUCAUUGAGUUUCACACAUUUUUCAUAGCUGUGAGUAUAAUCAAAUGAAAGAUUAUAAAUUCUAGUAUUUAUGAUAAUAUAUUCAGAUUUUAAGAAAUUUAUUUACUAUUUGUUUUUAAUUUUACAAUUAUUUUGUUUAAUUUAUAU
rnacentral:lncRNA from 1 species